rnacentral:lncRNA from 1 species
UGUUGCGAAAAAGAACAGUUGAAAAACACAUGGUCAAUAUCUUCCUCUUCUCUGAAACAAAAAGCACAACACAACUCACGCGGAUUAACAAUAACACCUUUUUUCGCCAACGUCAUACGAGUUGGUAGUCUAGAUAAUAAUAAUCUCCAUCCAAAUAUACACACUUUAGAUGGCAUGUCAUUUGUCCAUAAUUGAUUCAAGGCUUCCACCACGUUCUC